rnacentral:rRNA from 1 species
GGAAAGGAUGUGAGAUUUCUAAGACAACUAGGAUGUUGGCUUAGAAGCAGCCAUUCAUUAAAAGAGUGCGUAAUAGCUCACUAGUCGAGAGAUCUUGCGCCGAAAAUGUAACGGGGCUAAACUUACCACCGAAGCUACGGGCUUGAACUUAGUUCAAGCGGUAGGAGAGCGUCGUAACCGGGCUGAAGUCGUACCGUAAGGAGCGGUGGACUGGUUACGAGUGAGAAUGUUGGCAUCAGUAGCGAGAUGUGGGUGAGAAUCCCACAGGCCGAAAACCUAAGGUUUCCUCAGGAAGGUUCGUCCGCUGAGGGUUAGUCGGGACCUAAGCCGAGGCCGAAAGGCGUAGGUGAUGGACAACUGGUUGAUAUUCCAGUACCACUAUCAUCGUUAUUAUCGAUGGAGUGACGCAGGAGGAUAGUGUGUGCUAGCUAUUGGAUGCUAGUCUAAGCGUUUAGGCAGUGAGAGUAGGCAAAUCCGCUCUCAUAAUGCUGAGGCGUGAUGGGGAAGGUUCUACGGAACCGAAGUACAUGAUUCCACGCUGCCAAGAAAAGCGUCUAGAGAGAGAAGUAGUGCCCGUACCGCAAACCGACACAGGUAGGUGAGGAGAGAAUCCUAAGGCCGGCGGAAGAAUUACAGUUAAGGAACUCGGCAAAUUGACCCC